CCUACGGGAGGCAGCAGUCGGGAAUAUUGCUCAAUGGGGGAAACCCUGAAGCAGCAACGCCGCGUGGAGGAUGAAGGUUUUCGGAUUGUAAACUCCUUUUGUUAGAGAAGAUAAUGACGGUAUCUAACGAAUAAGCCCCGGCUAACUCCGUGCCAGCCGCCGCGGUAAUACGGAGGGUGCAAGCGUUACUCGGAAUCACUGGGCGGAAAGAGCGCGUAGGCGGGAUAGCAAGUCAGAUGUGAAAUCCUAUGGCUUAACUGUAGAACUGCAUGUGAAACUUUUAUUCUAGAGUAUGGGAGAGGAAGGUGGAAUGCUUGGUGUAGGGGUAAAAUGCGUAGAGAUCAAGAGGAAUACGAGUGGCGAAGGCGACCUGCUAGAACGUAACUGACGCUGAUGCGCGAAAGCGUGGGGAGCAAACAGGAUUAGAUACCCGGGUAGUC
rnacentral:rRNA from 1 species